rnacentral:rRNA from 1 species
CAGCGGAGGGAUCAUUACAGAGUUGCAAAACUCCCUAAACCAUUGUGAACGUUACCUAAACCGUUGCUUCGGCGGGCGGCCCCGGGGUUCUCCCCGGGCGCCCCUGGGCCCCAUCGCGGGCGCCCGCCGGAGGUCACCAAACUCUUGAUAAUUUAUGGCCUCUCUGAGUCUUCUGUACUGAAUAAGUCAAAACUUUCAACAACGGAUCUCUUGGUUCUGGCAUCGAUGAAGAACGCAGCGAAAUGCGAUAAGUAAUGUGAAUUGCAGAAUUCAGUGAAUCAUCGAAUCUUUGAACGCACAUUGCGCCCGCCAGUAUUCUGGCGGGCAUGCCUGUUCGAGCGUCAUUUCAACCAUCAAGCCCCCGGCUUGUGUUGGGGACCUGCGGCUGCCGCAGGCCCUGAAAAGCAGUGGCGGGCUCGCUGUCACACCGAGCGUAGUAGCAUACAUCUCGCUCUGGGCGUGCUGCGGGUUCCGGCCGUUAAACCACCUUCAUAACCCAAGGUUGACCUCGGAUCAGGUAGGAAGACCCGCUGAACUUAAGCAUA